UACGGGGGGAGCAAGCGUUGUUCGGAUUUACUGGGCGUAAAGGGCGCGUAGGCGGUCAGCACAAGUCAGUUGUGAAAUCUCCGGGCUUAACUCCGAAACUGCAUUCGAUACUGCGGUGCUUGAGGACUGGAGAGGAGACUGGAAUUUAUGGUGUAGCAGUGAAAUGCGUAGAGAUCAUAAGGAAGACCAGUGGCGAAGGCGGGUCUCUGGACAGUUCCUGACACUGAGGCACGAAGGCCAGGGGAGCAAACGGG
rnacentral:rRNA from 1 species